GAGAGUGAGAAAUCCUUACCGAAGAUCCACCUUGAGAAGUUGGACAGAGUAAUAAGGAUGUAGAUUCAGUGGUUGUAUUUAUACUCGAAGAUCCAGUUUGGGAGACAAAGUAGGAUAAGAUAAUUGAGCAAGCAAGUAGGUGCAUCCAUAUCCGAAGAUCCACUUUGGGGAACAAAGUAGGAUAUAUCUGAGUAAAGUACCAC
rnacentral:lncRNA from 1 species